AGAGUUUGAUCCUGGCUCAGGACGAACGCUUGCGACGUGCCUGAGAAAUGCAAGUCGAGCGGACCCGUGCCCUUUCGGGGGCGUGGGUCAGCGGCGAACGGUCGAGUAACACGUAACCGACCUGCCCCGUGGUCCGGGAUAGUCCCUCGAAAGGGGGUUUAAUACCGGGUGGUCUCACAAGGCGGCAUCGUUUUGUGAGUAAAGCUUUAUGCGCCAUGGGAGGGGGUUGCGGCCUAUCAGCUGGUUGGUGUGGUAACGGCGCACCAAGGCGACGACGGGUAGCUGGUCUGAGAGGAUGGUCAGCCGGACUGGGACUGAGACACGGCCCAGACUCCUACGGGGGGCAGCAAUCAGGAAUCUUGCGCAAUGGGGGAAACCCUGACGCAGCGACGUCGCGUGGAGGAAGACGGCCUUCGGGUUGUAAACUCCUUUUGCGAGGGACGAGCAAGGACGGUACCUUGCGAAUAAGCCCCGGCUAACUCCGUGCCAGCAGCCGCGGUAAUACGGAGGGGGCGAGCGUUGUCCGAAUUUAUUGGGCGUAAAGCGCGUGUAGGCGGAUGUUCAAGCCCGGGGUGAAAGGUUGGGGCUCAACCCCAACAGUGCCCUGGGGACUGGACGUCUGGAGGCAGGCAAAGGAGCGUGGAAUUCCUGGUGUAGCGGUGGAAUGCGUAGAGAUCAGGAAGAACACCCGUGGCGAAGGCGGCGCUCUGGGCCUGUACUGACGCUGAGACGCGAAAGCGUGGGGAGCGAACGGGAUUAGAUACCCCGGUAGUCCACGCCGUAAACGAUGGAUGCUCGGUGUCGGGGGUAUCGACCCCCUCGGCGCCUUAGGUAACCCGGUAAGCAUCCCGCCUGGGGAGUACGGCCGCAAGGUUGAAACUCAAAUGAAUUGACGG
rnacentral:rRNA from 1 species